rnacentral:rRNA from 1 species
AAUCUUCCGCAAUGGACGCAAGUCUGACGGAGCAACGCCGCGUGAGUGAUUAAGGUUUUCGGAUCGUAAAACUCUGUUGUUAGGGAAGAACAAGUACCGUUCGACUAGGUCGGUACCUUGACUGUUCUCUACCAGAAAGCCACUGCUAACUAUGUGCCCGCAGCCGCGGUAAUACGUAGGUGGCAAGCGUUAUCCGGAAUUAUUGGGCGUAAAGCGCGCGCAGGCGGUUUCUUAAGUCUGAUGUGAAAGCCCACGGCUCAACCGUGGAGGGUCAUUGGAAACUGGGGAACUUGAGUGCAGAAGAGGAGAGUGGAAUUCCAUGUGUAGCGGUGAAAUGCGUAGAGAUAUGGAGGAACACCAGUGGCGAAGGCGACUCUCUGGUCUGCAACUGACGCUGAGGCGCGAAAGCGUGGGGAGCAAACA